UUGAGCCGGAUGAAAGGAAACUUUCACGUCCGAUUUUGAAGGGGGGGUAGAUCCUAUAGAAUCCUAUCCCAAU
rfam:Nicotiana attenuata strain TT chromosome 3, whole genome shotgun sequence.